GAUCCUGGCUCAGGAUGAACGCUGGCGGCGUGCCUAACACAUGCAAGUCGAACGGAGUUUACAUGAAACCUAGUGAUUGUAAACUUAGUGGCGGACGGGUGAGUAACGCGUGGGUAACCUGCCCUGUACUGGGGGAUAACACUUAGAAAUAGGUGCUAAUACCGCAUAAGCGCACAGUGCCGCAUGGCACAGCGUGAAAAACUCCGGUGGUACAGGAUGGACCCGCGUCUUAUUAGAUAGUUGGUGAGG
rnacentral:rRNA from 1 species